rnacentral:lncRNA from 1 species
UCUUCUGCCUUAUUAUUAGCAGGAAUGCAGUCACUUUCCCUGCUGGUAAUCACGUUGCUUUUUAAGUCACAAGUUUAAAAUUUUACACUUUUUCUUCUGCAGUGUCAGAAAUGUUGUGAAAGCUGGUGGAUUUUUUUUCUACAGGUUACUGUCAAAUAGCACAUGUUCCUUCAUGGGGUGGUUGUCAACUCAAGACUUCAAACUUGUUUGAAAAUUUUUAGCAUCGACAUUUCUGUGACAGACGUUUUUCAAAUGCCUGGAUGCUUAUCUUGAGAAACAAAACAAGAAAACAGUAGGUAAGAGGCAAAAAGUUCUUCAUCUCUUCUAUUCUUAACCAAGAAGAAUAAUCACUCUAAAGAAAUGCAUGAUAAAACCUGCUAAAGAAAAAAAAAAAAAGCUAGUAAAAAACAGUGUUUGAAAUAAGAAAAAAAAAUCAUUAUCUUUGGAACAGAUGGACACCAACAAGACUUCAAAAUUAAUGAGUUUAUUGAGUUUGUGAUUAUGCUGUCUCAUAGAACUCAUAAUUGCUGCAAAUAGUGAGUUCUGGACCUCAGAUAUAUUCAUGUUAUUAAAAACUUUUCUGCUGAUAAGAGUAGAUCCUGACUCAGAGAUAAUCUGGAUAUGUUGAAUUCUAAUGUUAUACACUGAUACUUCUGAUAAUAUACUUCAAAAGGAGAUACAGAAAGUAGAAGUAUGAAAAGUCAAAGAAUGUGAAAUGAAGCCUUGCCUGUUAUGUGUUAGCCUGUGCGAUGAUAGAACUUCUUGUCUGAAAAAUACUUCCUUGUAGACUUCCAGUGGAAAGGAAGUGAAAGCUCUGUACCCAGAGUUCAAGCUCUGCAGUGUAAUUUGGGCUGUGAUCCAUAUGUAUUGUC